GUUCUACUGUCUUAAUGCUUGCAAAGAAGGGUUUUUAAAUGGAUGUAGGCCAUUCAUAGGGGUAGAUGGUUGUUUUAUCAAGCUGUCAACAGGUCAGCAGAUCCUUGCUGCAACAGGAAGGGAUGGAAACAACAACAUAUACCCUAUAGCAUUUGGAGUUGUUGACAAAGAGGACACAGACAGCUGGACCUGGUUCUUAACACAACUGAAAGAUGCACUUGGUGGAGAAAGUGGAAAGUUUGGGUAUUAUACUAUCAUUUCUGAUAGGCAGAAGGGCCUUUUAAAUGCAGUAAACCAUGUUUUUCCCAGUUGUCCACAA